rnacentral:misc_RNA from 1 species
UUAAGUUCAGCGCGUAUUCCUACCUGAUCCGAGGUCAACCAUUGAAAAUUUCCCGGUAAAGGGAGAAGACCGGGUCCCGGGUGCCCUUAUCCAAUACGUGCUCAAUUAAAAGCUCAGUGUACCGGGGGAACCACAGGCCGCCGUCAUUGUCUUUGGGAGGGGCAGGAGCCCCCGAGGGGGCCUCCACCAAACCGUCCAAC